GUGACCUGAUGAAAGAAGGAGUUUCUCUCAAGAGAAGCUGGAGAAAUGUUGUUUAUUCCCAAAUUCUUCACUGCAUAAAGGACUGAAAACGGGCCAGACGGUUUAGUGCCUAAAGAAGCAAGAGAGUGAAAACUGAUAGUUCAACCGCAACUGUUUUACAGACUUCCUGGUUGCUGUGAAAAGCUUGAAAAUGUGACCCCUAAAUGCACCAGUUCCAGAACAUAAAUAAAAAGAACCGAAAUUUA